rnacentral:rRNA from 1 species
UACGAAGGGGGCUAGCGUUGCUCGGAAUCACUGGGCGUAAAGCGCACGUAGGCGGGUUCUUAAGUCAGGGGUGAAAUCCUGGAGCUCAACUCCAGAACUGCCUUUGAUACUGGGAAUCUCGAGUCCGGGAGAGGUGAGUGGAACUGCGAGUGUAGAGGUGAAAUUCGUAGAUAUUCGCAAGAACACCAGUGGCGAAGGCGGCUCACUGGCCCUGUACUGACGCUGAGGUGCGAAAGCGUGGGGAGCAAACAGG